CGCCUGUUUAACAAAAACAUGUCUUUUUGAUUAUAAUUUAAAGUCUAACCUGCCCAAUGAGGAGUUAAAUGGCCGCGGUAACCUGACCGUGCAAAGGUAGCAUAAUCAUUAGUUUUUUAAUUGAAAGCUGGUAUGAACGGUUGGACGAGAGAGUAACUGUCUCAAUUUAAUUGAAUUAGAAUUUUAUCUUUAAGUAAAAAAGCUUAAAUGAUUUUAAAAGACGAGAAGACCCUAUAGAGUUUUAUAUUUACUGUAGUAAGUAUUUUAUAGUAUGUAUUAGGUAUGUAUUAUAGUAUGUAUUUUGUUGGGGCGACAGAAAAACUAAAGGAACUUUUUUUAUAUUAGAUCAUUAAUUUAUGAGUCAGUGAUCCGUUAUGAGAACGAUUAUAAGAUUAAAUUACCUUAGGGAUAACAGCGUUAUUUUCUUUGAGAGUUCUAAUCGAAAAGAGAGUUUGCGACCUCGAUGUUGGAUUAAAAUUAACUUUUGGUGCAGAAGCUAAAAGGUUAGGUCUGUUCGACCUUUAAAAUUUUACAUGAUCUGAGUUCAAACCGGAG
rnacentral:rRNA from 1 species